UCAUCAGGCGGGGUAAUUACUUGUUUCUCUUUUUGAAGGUUAGAUUAGAACAUGAUAACUGGAGUUUGCAUGAUACAUGAUUAAUGUCUCUGUGUAAUAGAAAAAAAAAAAUAUUGUUUUUCUCUAUG
rnacentral:snoRNA from 1 species